GCCACAGAGUGUUUCUGGUAGCACGUGUGUCUAGGAUUUUUGUUUAUUUUGAGCGUUUAAGUGACUUUUUGUGACUUGUUUUCGUUUUUGUGUGUUGUCCUUGUGUUCGUUUUUGUGUGUGAACGUUUUCCGUCUAGUCAAUGCCGUCUUACUAACUCGACAAGUUCCACAAUCAGUGAAAGAACGCAUUUUUCUUAAAGUUCACUAUAA